GAUGAACGCUAGCGGCAUGCCUUACACAUGCAAGUCGAACGGCAGCACGGGAGCAAUCCUGGUGGCGAGUGGCGAACGGGUGAGUAAUAUAUCGGAACGUGCCCGGUCGUGGGGGAUAACGUAGCGAAAGCUACGCUAAUACCGCAUACGAUCUACGGAUGAAAGCGGGGGAGUCGCAAGACCUCGCGCGAUUGGAGCGGCCGAUAUCAGAUUAGGUAGUUGGUGAGGUAAAGGCUCACCAAGCCGACGAUCUGUAGCUGGUCUGAGAGGACGACCAGCCACACUGGGACUGAGACACGGCCCAGACUCCUACGGGAGGCAGCAGUGGGGGAAUAUUGGGACAAUGGGCGCAAGACCUGAUCCAGCCAUGCCGCGUGUGUGA
rnacentral:rRNA from 1 species